AGACCAUGCGUGAGACAGGUCGGUCUCCUAUCUGCUGCAGGCGUUGAUUCUUGAAGAGAUUUGCUUCUAGUACGA
rnacentral:rRNA from 1 species